AUUGAACGCUGGCGGCAUGCUUUACACAUGCAAGUCGAACGGUAACAGGCCGCAAGGUGCUGACGAGUGGCGAACGGGUGAGUAAUGCAUCGGAACGUGCCCAGUCGUGGGGGAUAACGCAGCGAAAGCUGUGCUAAUACCGCAUACGAUCUAUGGAUGAAAGCGGGGGACCGUAAGGCCUCGCGCGAUUGGAGCGGCCGAUGUCAGAUUAGGUAGUUGGUGGGGUAAAGGCCUACCAAGCCGACGAUCUGUAGCUGGUCUGAGAGGACGACCAGCCACACUGGGACUGAGACACGGCCCAGACUCCUACGGGAGGUAGCAGUGGGGAAUUUUGGACAAUGGGCGCAAGCCUGAUCCAGCAAUGCCGCGUGCAGGAAGAAGGCCUUCGGGUUGUAAACUGCUUUUGUACGGAACGAAACGGUCUGGGUUAAUACCCUGGGCUAAUGACGGUACCGUAAGAAUAAGCACCGGCUAACUACGUGCCAGCCGCCGCGGUAAUAC
rnacentral:rRNA from 1 species